AUUGAACGCUGGCGGCAGGCCUAACACAUGCAAGUCGAACGGUAACAGGAUAGCUUGCUAUCGCUGACGAGUGGCGGACGGGUGAGUAAUACUUAGGGAUCUGCCCCGGGGUGGGGGACAACCAUUGGAAACGAUGGCUAAUACCGCAUAACGUCUACGGACCAAAGAGGGCUUCGGCUCUCGCCCUGGGAUGAACCUAAGCGAGAUUAGCUUGUUGGUGAGGUAAAGGCUCACCAAGGCGACGAUCUCUAGCUGUUCUGAGAGGAAGAUCAGCCACACUGGGACUGAGACACGGCCCAGACUCCUACGGGGAGGCAGCAGUGGGGAAUAUUGCACAAUGGGGGAAACCCUGAUGCAGCCAUGCCGCGUGAGUGAAGAAGGCCCUCGGGUUGUAAAACUCUUUCAGAUGUGAGGAUGAUGACGAUAACAUCAAAAGAAGCUCCGGCU
rnacentral:rRNA from 1 species